UACGGAGGGGGGCUAGCGUUGUUCGGAAUUACUGGGCGUAAAGCGCACGUAGGCGGCUUUGUAAGUUAGAGGUGAAAGCCCGGGGCUCAACUCCGGAAUUGCCUUUAAAACUGCAUCGCUAGAAUUGUGGAGAGGUAAGUGGAAUUCCGAGUGUAGAGGUGAAAUUCGUAGAUAUUCGGAAGAACACCAGUGGCGAAGGCGACUUACUGGACACAUAUUGACGCUGAGGUGCGAAAGCGUGGGGAGCAAACAGG
rnacentral:rRNA from 1 species